rnacentral:rRNA from 1 species
CAGCCGCCGCGGUAAUACGUAGGGUGCAAGCGUUAAUCGGAAUUACUGGGCGUAAGGCGUGCGCAAGCGGUUUUGUAAGUCUGUCGUGAAAUCCCCGGGCUCAACCUGGGAAUGGCGAUGGAGACUGCAAGGCUAGAAUCUGGCAGAGGGGGGUAGAAUUCCACGUGUAGCAGUGAAAUGCGUAGAUAUCAGGAGGAACACCUGUGGCGAAAGCGGCUCACUGGACCAUAACUGACGCUGAGGCACGAAAGCUAGGGGAGCAAACAGGAUUAGAUACCCCAGUAGUCCCUGUCUCUUAUAA